AGGAUAUAAAUAAUGCUGAAGCAGAGUUACGUUUUUUUUGUUGUUGUUUUUUUUGUUUUUGUUUUUUUAGGUUUCCGUGUGUUUCUAUUGAGCUGCUCAGUGCCCGGCUUAGAAGACCAGGAAAAGGAGUCACAGGUCGUAUGCUGGAGGCUUGAGCCGCGGCACCGUGGCGCGGCUCGCCUCGCUGCGGUUGGUGGUGGCGGUGGACAUUGCAGCGCGGCUGGAGGGGUGAGAUAUUCCUGCACAUCCUCUGGUGACCCCAGAAUGAGGGGGACUCGCUGGUGAAUUGCCUCGGGCUUCACGUCCAGUACAGGCUGGGUCCCCGUGGUCGCCAAGCCUCCUGCCUGCUCAAUGAUGUAGGCCACGGGAUUGCAUUCAUACAGGAGCCGGAGCUGUGGAGGAACAGAGGCAGGUUCCUUGGGAUUUUCUACAUAGACCAUCAUGUCGUCUGCAAGAACAGUGUUAUUACCUGCUUUCCAAUCUGUAUGUGUUUCAUCAUCUUCCUUGCCUUAUUGUGCUGGCUACAACUUUCAGGAUUACAUAUGUUGGGUAACAGUGGCGAGUGAGGACAUCCUUGCUUUGUUACUGAUCUUAGAGUAUAAGCAUUCAGUCUUUCACCAUUAAAUGUAAUGCUAGCUGUAGAUGUACUUGAUAGAGUUAAGGGACGCUCCUCCUCUAUUUCUUGUUUUCUAAGACUUUCUGUUUUUUCAGAGACAGGGUCUUGCUCUGUUGCCCAGGGUGGAGUGCAGUGGCUUGGUCAUGGCUCACUGCAGCCUCCAACUCCUGGGCUUAAGUCAUCCUCCCAUCUCAACUUCUUGAGUAGCUGGGACUACGGGUAUGCACUACCACCCCCCUCUCCAGCUAAUGUCUUUUUUGAGAUGGGGGUCUUGCUAUGUUGCCCAGGCUGGUCUCAAACUCCUGGCCUCAAGCAAUCCUCCUACCUCAGCAAGUUUCUUUUUUAAAUAAUGAAUGAGUGUUGAAUUUGUUCAAAUGUUUUUUCUCCAUCAAUAGAUACGAUUAUGUGAUUUUUCUUCUUUAGCCUGUUGAUAUGGUGGAUUACACUGACUGAUUAUGAAUACUGGAUCAGUCUUCCAUCACCAGAAUAAACCCCACUCAGCCAUGGUGUAUAAUUUAUUUUAUGUAUUGUUGAAUUCUAUUUGCCAAUAUUUUGUUAAGAGUUUUUGCAUUUAUUGAUAAGGAAUAUUGGUCUGUGGUAUUUUUUUGAACAAUCUUUGUCUGGUUUUUGUAUCAGGAUAACACUGGUUUCAUAAAAUGAAUUGGGAAGUGUUCCUUCCUAUUAUCUUUUCUGGAAGAGACUGAAUAAUCUGUGAAUAUUUGUUAUGUUUUUCCAGUAAACCAUCUGAGCCUGGAGAUUUCUUUUCUUGGGCAUGAGUUUCUUAAUAGUAUUGAGCCCUGUAGAUAGCCAUUCAAAGUAUCUAUUUUAUAUUGGGUGAGUUAGAGUAUUGUAGUUUUUGAGACAUUGGUUCGUUUCAUCUAAGUUGUCAAAUGUAUGCAUGUGGAGUUGUUUCUAAUAUUCUCUUUUUAUCCUUUUGAAAAACAAGGCAACCUGAGAUUAACAAUCUACUGCAUAAAUACACAAUUCUCUGAUCAUUUUCCCAAGAUAAAUUCCCAAUAAUUAAAUAAUUGGGUAAAAAUCUUUUGAUACAUAUUGAAAAAUUGUCCUCCAGAAAGAGUGCAUCAAUUUAUACUUUUACCACUAAUAAUAAGAGAGUUCAUUUUAAUUCAGCCUGGUAAACACAAGAUAGCAUUGUCUUUUCAACUUUGUCAAUUUGACAGGUGGACAAAAUGACAUCUCUUUUGUUUUAACUUCUAUUUUUUAUGAGUCAGGUAAAACCUUUUAUAUGUUUAUUUUGACCAUUUUUAUUUUGUAAGUUGUCUCUUUCAUGUCUUGCUUAUUUUUCUAUCAGGAUAUUCAACUUCUUGUUUAUUUUAAUAGCUCUUUAUAUAUAAAGGAUAUUAAUGUCUUGUAUAUGUCACAAAUAUUUUCCUCGAUUGUCAUUGCCUUCUUAUUUAUGGUGCCUGUUUUUGCAGUGCAGUUUUAAAAUUAAAAUUAUUCAUGACAUUCCA
rnacentral:lncRNA from 1 species